rnacentral:rRNA from 1 species
AUGAACAGAGCCGGCAGGCUCGCCCUCGUCAAGUCGGUCCUCUGCGCGAUCCCGGUGCACCAGCUGCUUGCUUUUGCCCCCACGAAGAAAACUCUGCGGCAGCUCGAGAAGAUUCAACGGGGAUUUUUUAUGGGCUGGGCGAGCCACCGCCAAUGGUGGUCACUGCCAUGUGAACUGGCGCCUCGUCUCCCGCCCCCUCGAGCUUGGGGGCCUCGGGGUCCGCGACCUCGAGCGCACCGGGCUUGCGCUCAGACUGCGGUGGCUUUGGCUCUCGCGAACUGA